rnacentral:rRNA from 1 species
AGCUCCAAUAGCGUAUAUUAAAGUUGUUGCAGUUAAAAAGCUCGUAGUUGGAUUUCUGUGAGAGUGCCGGUGUCGGCUGACGCUUGUACGCAGGCGCUCUUACAUCCUUCUGUUAACUGUUCAUGGCAUUUUAUUGCUGGUUCAGGGCUCAGAUAUUUUACCUUGAGAAAAUUAGAGUGUUUCAGGCAGGCUUAUGCCGGAAUACAUUAGCAUGGAAUAAUGGAACAGGACCUGUGCGUCUUUCGGGGCGCCGGUCUCCGUUGUUGGUUUCGGGGACUAAUGUAAUGAUUAAUAGGGAUAGUUGGGGGCAUUAGUAUUUAAUAGUCAGAGGUGAAAUUCUCGGAUUUGUUAAAGACUAACUUAUGCGAAAGCAUUUGCCAAGGAUGUUUUCAUUAAUCAA